rnacentral:rRNA from 1 species
UACGUAGGUCCCAAGCGUUAUCCGGAUUUACUGGGCGUAAAGUGUCCGUAGCCUGAUAUACAAGUCAGUUUUCAAAUAUCUCGACUCAAUCGAGAAAAGGGAAUAGAUACUGUAUAUCUCGAGAUUAUUGGAGGUUAGUGGAAUUUCCGGUGGAGCGGUGAAAUGCGUUGAUAUCGGAAAGAACGCCGAAAGCGAAAGCAGCUAACUAUGAUAAUUCUGACGGUGAGGGACGAAAGCUUGGGGAGCAAACGGG